AUGGAUUUCAACCCGGAAGUCUUAUGUUGGAACGUGUGUGGGCUUAACAACCCGGCAAAGAGGAAAGCUGUGAGAAGCUUCAUCGAGUCAGUUAGAGUUAACUUGGUAUGUCUCCAAGAGACAAAACUUGAUGUUGUUGACCAUUUUAUGAUUAUGGAAUGUUUGGGUCCGUCCUUUGAUGACUACGCUUACUUUGCCGACUGUUAA
rnacentral:rRNA from 1 species